rnacentral:RNase_P_RNA from 1 species
AACGCCGCAUGGCACGGCAAACCCCACCUGGAGCAAGACCAAAUAGGGGAGCUAUGGCGCGGCCCGCGUCGCUCCCGGGUUGGUUGCUUGAAUCCUGCGGCGACGCAGGAUCCAGAGGAAUGGCUGCCCACGACAAAACCCGGCUUAUCGGCCGACUCCUUCU